rnacentral:rRNA from 1 species
AACGAACGCUGGCGGCAUGCCUAACACAUGCAAGUCGAACGAGACCUUCGGGUCUAGUGGCGCACGGGUGCGUAACGCGUGGGAACCUGCCCUUAGGUUCGGAAUACCUCCCCGAAAGGGGUGCUAAUACCGGAUAAUGUCUUCGGACCAAAGCUUUAUCGCCUUUGGAUGGGCCCGCGUUGGAUUAGCUAGUUGGUAGGGUAAAAGCCUACCAAGGCGACGAUCCAUAGCUGGUCUGAGAGGAUGAUCAGCCACACUGGGACUGAGACACGGCCCAGACUCCUACGGGAGGCAGCAGUGGGGAAUAUUGGACAAUGGGCGAAAGCCUGAUCCAGCAAUGCCGCGUGAGUGAUGAAGGCCUUAGGGUUGUAAAGCUCUUUUACCCGGGAUGAUAAUGACAGUACCGGGAGAAUAAGCUCCGGCUAACUCCGUG